rnacentral:rRNA from 1 species
AGAUUAAGUUAUUAAGGGCGCACGGUGGAUGCCUUGGCACUAGAAGCCGAUGAAGGACGUUACUAACGACGAUAUGCUUUGGGGAGCUGUAAGUAAGCUUUGAUCCAGAGAUUUCCGAAUGGGGAAACCCAGCAUGAGUUAUGUCAUGUUAUCGAUAUGUGAAUACAUAGCAUAUCAGAAGGCACACCCGGAGAACUGAAACAUCUUAGUACCCGGAGGAAGAGAAAGAAAAUUCGAUUCCCUUAGUAGCGGCGAGCGAAACGGGAAGAGCCCAAACCAACAAGCUUGCUUGUUGGGGUUGUAGGACACUCUAUACGGAGUUACAAAGGACGACAUUAGACGAAUCAUCUGGAAAGAUGAAUCAAAGAAGGUAAUAAUCCUGUAGUCGAAAAUGUUGUCUCUCUUGAGUGGAUCCUGAGUACGACGGAGCACGUGAAAUUCCGUCGGAAUCUGGGAGGACCAUCUCCUAAGGCUAAAUACUCUCUAGUGACCGAUAGUGAACCAGUACCGUGAGGGAAAGGUGAAAAGCACCCCGGAAGGGGAGUGAAAUAGAACCUGAAACCGUGUGCUUACAAGUAGUCAGAGCCCGUUAAUGGGUGAUGGCGUGCCUUUUGUAGAAUGAACCGGCGAGUUACGAUUUGAUGCAAGGUUAAGCAGUAAAUGUGGAGCCGUAGCGAAAGCGAGUCUGAAUAGGGCGUUUAGUAUUUGGUCGUAGACCCGAAACCAGGUGAUCUACCCUUGGUCAGGUUGAAGUUCAGGUAACACUGAAUGGAGGACCGAACCGACUUACGUUGAAAAGUGAGCGGAUGAACUGAGGGUAGCGGAGAAAUUCCAAUCGAACCUGGAGAUAGCUGGUUCUCUCCGAAAUAGCUUUAGGGCUAGCCUCAAGUGAUGAUUAUUGGAGGUAGAGCACUGUUUGGACGAGGGGCCCCUCUCGGGUUACCGAAUUCAGACAAACUCCGAAUGCCAAUUAAUUUAACUUGGGAGUCAGAACAUGGGUGAUAAGGUCCGUGUUCGAAAGGGAAACAGCCCAGACCACCAGCUAAGGUCCCAAAAUAUAUGUUAAGUGGAAAAGGAUGUGGUGUUGCCCAGACAACUAGGAUGUUGGCUUAGAAGCAGCCAUCAUUUAAAGAGUGCGUAAUAGCUCACUAGUCGAGUGACACUGCGCCGAAAAUGUACCGGGGCUAAACAUAUUACCGAAGCUGUGGAUUGUCCUUUGGACAAUGGUAGGAGAGCGUUCUAAGGGCGUUGAAGCAUGAUCGUAAGGACAUGUGGAGCGCUUAGAAGUGAGAAUGCCGGUGUGAGUAGCGAAAGACGGGUGAGAAUCCCGUCCACCGAUUGACUAAGGUUUCCAGAGGAAGGCUCGUCCGCUCUGGGUUAGUCGGGUCCUAAGCUGAGGCCGACAGGCGUAGGCGAUGGAUAACAGGUUGAUAUUCCUGUACCACCUAUAAUCGUUUUAAUCGAUGGGGGGGACGCAGUAGGAUAGGCGAAGCGUGCGAUUGGAUUGCACGUCUAAGCAGUAAGGCUGAGUAUUAGGCAAAUCCGGUACUCAUUAAGGCUGAGCUGUGAUGGGGAGAAGACAUUGUGUCUUCGAGUCGUUGAUUUCACACUGCCGAGAAAAGCCUCUAGAUAGAAAAUAGGUGCCCGUACCGCAAACCGACACAGGUAGUCAAGAUGAGAAUUCUAAGGUGAGCGAGCGAACUCUCGUUAAGGAACUCGGCAAAAUGACCCCGUAACUUCGGGAGAAGGGGUGCUCUUUAGGGUUAACGCCCAGAAGAGCCGCAGUGAAUAGGCCCAAGCGACUGUUUAUCAAAAACACAGGUCUCUGCUAAACCGUAAGGUGAUGUAUAGGGGCUGACGCCUGCCCGGUGCUGGAAGGUUAAGAGGAGUGGUUAGCUUCUGCGAAGCUACGAAUCGAAGCCCCAGUAAACGGCGGCCGUAACUAUAACGGUCCUAAGGUAGCGAAAUUCCUUGUCGGGUAAGUUCCGACCCGCACGAAAGGCGUAACGAUUUGGGCACUGUCUCAACGAGAGACUCGGUGAAAUCAUAGUACCUGUGAAGAUGCAGGUUACCCGCGACAGGACGGAAAGACCCCGUGGAGCUUUACUGUAGCCUGAUAUUGAAAUUCGGCACAGCUUGUACAGGAUAGGUAGGAGCCUUUGAAACGUGAGCGCUAGCUUACGUGGAGGCGCUGAUGGGAUACUACCCUAGCUGUGUUGGCUUUCUAACCCGCACCACUUAUCGUGGUGGGAGACAGUGUCAGGCGGGCAGUUUGACUGGGGCGGUCGCCUCCUAAAAGGUAACGGAGGCGCUCAAAGGUUCCCUCAGAAUGGUUGGAAAUCAUUCAUAGAGUGUAAAGGCAUAAGGGAGCUUGACUGCGAGACCUACAAGUCGAGCAGGGUCGAAAGACGGACUUAGUGAUCCGGUGGUUCCGCAUGGAAGGGCCAUCGCUCAACGGAUAAAAGCUACCCCGGGGAUAACAGGCUUAUCUCCCCCAAGAGUUCACAUCGACGGGGAGGUUUGGCACCUCGAUGUCGGCUCAUCGCAUCCUGGGGCUGUAGUCGGUCCCAAGGGUUGGGCUGUUCGCCCAUUAAAGCGGUACGCGAGCUGGGUUCAGAACGUCGUGAGACAGUUCGGUCCCUAUCCGUCGUGGGCGUAGGAAAUUUGAGAGGAGCUGUCCUUAGUACGAGAGGACCGGGAUGGACAUACCUCUGGUGUACCAGUUGUCGUGCCAACGGCAUAGCUGGGUAGCUAUGUGUGGACGGGAUAAGUGCUGAAAGCAUCUAAGCAUGAAGCCCCCCUCAAGAUGAGAUUUCCCAACUUCGGUUAUAAGAUCCCUCAAAGAUGAUGAGGUUAAUAGGUUCGAGGUGGAAGCAUGGUGACAUGUGGAGCUGACGAAUACUAAUCGAUCGAAGACUUAAUCAAAUU